rnacentral:lncRNA from 1 species
AUGGCUUCCAGUAAAUCCAGUCUUCCAGCAAUUAUGGGUCUUCCACAAAAUCCAUAUCUUCCAGGAAAAUCCAUGUCUUCCAGAAAAAUCCAUGUCUUCCAAUGGUUUCAAGGUCUUCCGGCUAAUCCGCAUCUUCCAGAAAAAUCUGUCUUCCGCCAAAUCCAAGUCUUCCAGUCAAUCCAGGUCUUCCAGCUAACUUAUGUCUUCCAGAAAGAAAUCCAGGUCUUCCACUCAGUCUGUGUCUUCCAGGAACAUCUAGGUCUUCCACCAAAUCCAGAUCUUCUACCAAAUCCAGUCUUCCAGCCAAUCCACGUCUUCCAGAGAAAAUCUAUGUCUUCCACUAAGUCCAGGUCUUCCGAUAAUGCCACGUCUUCCAGAAAAUUCGUGUCUUCCACUAAAUCCAAGUCUUCCAGCAAAUAUAUGUCUUCCGGAAAAUCCAUGUCUUCCAGUAACCUCCAGGUCUUCCAGCAAAUCUACGUCUUCCAAACAACCCAGGUCUUCCGGACAAUUCGAGUCUUCCUGAAAAUCCACGUCUUCCAUAAAACCCAUGUCUUCCAACGACCUCCAGGUCUUCCAGCCUAUCCAAGUCUUCCAGAAAAUUCAUGUCUUCCAGAAAAUUCAUGGCUUCCAGAAAAUCCACGUCUUCCAGGAAAUCUAUGUCUUCCAGCAAACCCUUGUCUUCCAACAAAGCUGUGUCUUCCAUCAAAUUCAUGUCUUCCAGCCUACCCAGGUCUUCCAACGAAAUUACGUCUUCCUGAAAAUCCAUGUCUUCCAACAAAGCCACGUCUUCCAGAAAAUCCACGUCUUCUAGCUAAGCCACGUCUUCCAGAAAAUCCAUGUCUUCCUACACCUCCAGGUCUUCCAGCAUCUCCAGGGCUUCCAGCAUCUGCUCGUCUUCCAGCAUCUCCACGUCUUCCAGCAUCUCUGCGUCUUCCAGCAUCUCCAUGUCUUCCGACAGCUACCCAGUCUUCCAAGAGCGGGCUCAAUACCCACGUCUUCCAAUGUCUCCAGUGUACCGGUCUUCUAACAUUCAGAUCUUCCAGUGUCUACGAUAUCCAGGAUCCACCUGCUUCUUCAAAUAUCACUGACUUCCUGGAUUCCUGACCACUGCCUUGUGUCCGACUAAUGGUAACUACAACUCCUUAACUCCCAGCAUGCUGACCUAGAGAACUACUUGGUUCUCCAAGUCUCAGCUUCUAUCAGGUGCUUCCAGCAACAUUGCUACCCGUGCCUCUGGCUGGCAUGACAAGCAUUACAGCUACAUAAUGAAAUUAUGGUUAGGCAAGGAAUCUCUGAAGAUUUAGAAUCAUCUACAUGGUAAUAUGAAUUAAUAAUAAUAAUAGAAAUACCUUCCAAAUGUCAAAUUAUUUAGUUUACAAAGUACUGUCACUUCAUUCAUUCAUUCAUUCAACAAAUAUUUAUUGAGUGCCAACUGUGCGCCAGGUAUAUUUAAUGGAGAUUAAAAUCAUCUGGGGGAAACAGACAAUGUACAAAUAAUUGAACAAUUAUUUAUCAGUUGUUGUAAGGCUAUGAAGGAAAAGUAAGUAUAGGAUGCUAUGAGAAUCUGGAAAGUUAAGGAAAGAAUUCCUGAGGAGGUAACAUUUAUGGUGACUGAAGGAUCUAUUUUCUCAUUUGAUUAGUACAAUAACCUUGUGACUUAGAUAAGACAUAUGUUUUUAUAUCAAUUUUACCUAAUCAGAGGUUAAACAGAAAGUACUAAAGAUAGGCAUGGGAUCCACAUAUUUUGACUUCAUUUUUUUCUUCUACUCUAUGCUGCCUUAAAAUAUAAAUAUAUAGUAAGUACAGUUUUCACAAUAUAUAUCAAGGGUUAUAAAAAUGUUGGUACUCUGACAGUAUUUCACUUCAAUGAAUCUACUCAAGGAAAUUAUCUAAAGUGUGGAUAGUUCCUGCACAAAGAUGUUCUUCACAUAGUUAUUUCGUAUAGUGAAAAACAGAAAAACCUCAAGGAUUUAACUCUAAGGGCAUGAUUAAGUAAAUGUGCUAUUUCCAUGUGAUGGAAUAUUCUGCCAUUAAAAUAUUUAUCGUGUGUUCAUAUUAUAUAAUGUUAAGCGAAAGAUCAGCAUACAAGAUUAUAUAAAGUGUGUUUGCAAUUAUUUUAAAUAUAUUUAAUCAGAGACAAAUGACUAGAAAUAAAUACAUUGGAGAUUGUGAACUACUUACCUUU